rnacentral:pre_miRNA from 1 species
AAUAAAUCAAUUACUGAGUUUUUGAUCGAGUUUUUGAUUCUUCGUCUUAUUUGAAAUCUUGUAAUGAUUAAUAUUUUUAUUGCUAUUACAUGAUAAAACAUGAAUAGUGCUUUACAUAUGACUAAUUUUUUUAAAUUUUUUAAUAAUUUUUUUAAAAUAAGACGAAUGGUUAAAUGCUUCAAAGACAAAAUCCACGAAUC